GUUUUUUAUGAUUUGCUCCUUUUUCUUUUCAUUUUGAAAAGAAUUUGUAGGAUACAAUAGUCACUAAAAAUAAUUCCUUUAAUCCUCAUUCUAUUUUAUUCCCCAAGUUUACUUUUUAAAUGGGAAAGAAAAUUUUAUUUUGCUUAUUUCAAAGCUGAGCCCUCAGUAGAAACAAAAUGCAAUCUGAGUGGCAGAUUCUGGUUCUGUUGUCUUUGUAUUAAACUGAUAAGAAAAUGGAAUGGGACUGACAUUUGUAAAGUAGCCUGAAAAUUUCAUUCCGCAAAAACCGAGGCUGUGACUUGGAAGAAUAUGAAUGAAGAGCAUAGAGUUAAGAGCCCUUAAGGACAUGGAAUGAUUGCAUUUCAGCUCCGUGGGUCAUCUACAGCACGACUCCAGGGGCAUUAGCAAUGUAUAGAGAAAAGAGGGCCCUUGCCAAGAGAAAAGCAGCAGGAAGAUUGGUGGGGUGGCUUAAUCUUGCGCAGAAACAAAAAGUACCUGCUGACCCCGAGUCCACUGAGAAAUAAAAGGAUCAAAAUGAUUUAAGGAGGGAGCAGGGCAACUUCAAGAUGGGCUCAAAUACCACAUUUAAACUAAUUUCUUCUGUUCCACAGACCAACCAUGCCAUCCGCAGACCCACAGGGUGAUAAAACUGAAAGGACCUGAUAUUCACAAAACCUGAAUGAAAUUAUUUGUCUUGCUGUUUGCCAGUUGUCCUAACUUGAGCAGUCAACCUAUACUCUGUGGAUCUUGAUUUUCUCAUCUGUAAAAUGUUUGAGUGGAGACUGCGACCUCUUAGGACUUGUGAGGAAUUCUACCUUCAGACACCUGCUCAAUUCCAUGGCAUCUGGGAGAAGAAGAUGAAAGCAUUAUUUCUUGACAGCCACCUAGAUUCCAACAGCAUCAUGUAACAAAUGGUGCUAAGUUAUUCAGGACCCAUGAAUCAACACUUAUUCAUGAAGGCAAUGUUUUAAACCUCAGUGGUCAGAAAAUGUUUGAGAUUUGAAAUAGUUGCUUGAGGUUGAGGCAGAGAGUAACAAAGAAUACUAAAAUUAUCAAAGAAACACCAAAAACAAAUCAAUAGCAUCUAAAUGAUCUUUAACUUCAUAGCUGGUACUAUUUCUGUCCCCUUUUUGCUUCCUAAUAGAAGUUUUUUUUUUUUUUUGGUGAUUUGGUUCUAUUAAGUUCAAGGACAUUUAAGAGAGUAGUAUGAUUAUGAUUAGAGGUACAAGCAUGACCAGAAGCACAAGUUAAUUUAUAAGUGAUUGAAUGAAAAUAAUUUUGUGAGAAAUAAGAAUAGGUUCUUUUGGUUUAUAUUUUUGGCAUGCUUUCUUUUACCAUUUUAAAGAGAUCUUCCCAAGAGAAAAUGCAUUGCAGAAAUACAUAUUUGUCACCUAUUUAGAAAUGACAUUCAUUUAUUUGAAAAUGGGCCACUAUAAACUAGAUAUAUAGAGAGGUCAAAUUUAAUAAACAGAGGUAUUAAUGUGAAUAGAAAUGUGCU
rnacentral:lncRNA from 13 species